CAAUCAAACUACCAAUUGUUCGCCAAAUAACUACGAGUAAAAACUUAAAAUUUAAAAGACUUGACGGUGCCUCAAAACAACCUAGAGGAGCCUGUCUAAUAACCGAUACUCCACGAUUAACCCAACCCACCCUAGCCUAACAGUCUAUAUACCGCCGUCGCCAGCCUACCUUGUGAAAGAAACAAAGUGAGCUCAAUAGUCAUCACUAACACGACAGGUCGAGGUGUAACUCAUGGGGGGGACCAAGAUGGGCUACAUUUUCUAAACCAGAAAACACGAAUUAACCUAUGAAAAAGAAACUGAAGGCGGAUUUAGCAGUAUGCCGAGAACAACUAACCCUGCAGAAACCAACGCAAUGAGGCGCGUACACACCGCCCGUCAUCCCUGUCAACCAACUACAAAAUAUAUAAA
rnacentral:rRNA from 1 species